rnacentral:rRNA from 1 species
CCCUUAGAUGUUCUGGGCCGCACGCGCGCUACACUGACACGUGCAUCGAGUAUAAAACCUUGACUGAGAAGUCUGGGUAAUCUUUGAAGGCUUGUCGUGCUGGGGAUAGAUGAUUGUAAUUAUUCAUCUUCAACGAGGAAUUCCUAGUAAUCGCAUGUCAUCAACGUGCAAUGAUUACGUCCCUGCCCUUUGUACACACCGCCCGUCGCUACUACCGAUUGAAUGAUUUAGUGAGUCCCACGGACUGUCGUUUUUGGUUGGGUUUCCUUCUGAAAAUGGUGGGAAGUGGUACAAACUUGACCAUUUAGAGGAAGUAAAAGUCGUAACA